rnacentral:rRNA from 1 species
GAUGAACGCUAGCGGCAGGCUUAAUACAUGCAAGUCAAGGGGGUAGCAAUACAACCGGCGCACGGGUGAGUAACGCGUACACAACAUACCAUAUACUGGGGUAUAGCUUUGGGAAACUGAAGGUAAUCCCCCAUAACAUUGCGAGAGGGCAUCUGAUUGCAAUUAAAGUUUCGGCGGUAUAUGAUUGGUGUGCGUUUGAUUAGCUAGUUGGUAGGGUAACGGCCUACCAAGGCGACGAUCAAUAGCUGGCGUGAGAGCGCGACCAGCCACACUGGAACUGAGACACGGUCCAGACUCCUACGGGAGGCAGCAGUAGGGAAUGUUGGACAAUGGGCGGAAGCCUGAUCCAGCCAUGCCGCGUGAAGGAUGAAGGCGCUCAGCGUUGUAAACUUCUUUUGGAUGGGGACAAUAAUCUCGAUUUAUCGGGACUUGAGGGUACCAUCAGAAUAAGCACCGGCUAACUCCGUGCCAGCAGCCGCGGUAAU